ACCAGCUAGCAAAGCUGCCGACUGCUUAUUACCUAAAAAAAUUAGAUUGCAAUAUUGGCAACUAGUAUAAAUAAAACUCAAAAACUCUGCAAGUACACCCCAGUUCCCCUUAUAAUAAAUGGAGCUAAGAACAUAUCUUCCCUUUUAAAUCUUGAUGACCUGAACUACAUAUCUGUUGUCAGUGGGAAAGUUCUUGAAAAAGCAGAUCAGGAACAGCUCAUCCCUCGAGAUAAAAGUCAUUACCACAAACAUAACCUAAAUGCUCUUUUUGUGAUCAAAAGGGAUUGAGUUCAAGAAAAAGCUGCGUACUAUAAACAAGGCUUUCUUUCUUGAUGCUUGCAAAGCAUA
rnacentral:lncRNA from 1 species